GGCAACCUCCAGAACUCAAGGGGAGACCCGGAACGAACAGCGCCGAACACGGCGGAAAAGGCAAGAAAAGCCGGGUAGCCUGUGGAAAAGAUCGUUCAUUCGAAAGUCUUCAAAAACGGUGAAUUUUAAGGAAAAGAACAAAGAGACCAUCCGCUUCCAGGAGAAAAAUCCAGGAAACAGUCAGUUCUGAAUGUCAACACAUCACCUCUGUGUUGUCUACUUUCAUGAAAGUUUUGGUAAGGAAUAUUUUAAAUGCAUUCAGCUCCUCUAGUGAAGAAGCAUAUACAGUGUUACUCUCAGAACUCUGAGAAUUAAGUGAAAAAAAAGAUACCGUAUAAGAAGAAGGGUCCACCCAGGGAUGGCUAGCUGCUUCACACAGAGAGCUGUAAUUAAAGGACAAGACAGAUUUCAACAGGACAAACUAUCAGGGCGAAGAUCAAGACGUGGUCCAGAUUUCCCAGCGCCUGAGUUACUUCUUCUAACAAGCACAAAGAGUCCUCAUAAUGGAGCCUAUGCCCCUGCUGAAGAUGAAAACUACCCACCUUGCUCUGAUGUGAGACCAUCUGAAGAAGAAAAAAUGCCAAUAUUUUCUAAACAACGUUUUGUAGAAAUUUUCAAAGCUACAAGAAGCUCACAAAAAUAAUACUUCACUAACAA